rnacentral:rRNA from 1 species
GACGAACGCUGGCGGCGUGCUUAACACAUGCAAGUCGAACGAAGAGCGACGGAAGCUUGCUUCUAUCAAUCUUAGUGGCGAACGGGUGAGUAACGCGUAAUCAACCUGCCCUUCAGAGGGGGACAACAGUUGGAAACGACUGCUAAUACCGCAUACGAUCUAACCUCGGCAUCGAGGAUAGAUGAAAGGUGGCCUCUACAUGUAAGCUAUCACUGAAGGAGGGGAUUGCGUCUGAUUAGCUAGUUGGAGGGGUAACGGCCCACCAAGGCGAGGAUCAGUAGCCGGUCGGAGAGGAUGAACGGCCACAUUGGGACUGAGACACGGCCCAGACUCCUACGGGAGGCAGCAGUGGGGAAUCUUCCGCAAUGGACGAAAGUCUGACGGAGCAACGCCGCGUGAGUGAUGACGGCCGUCGGGUUGUAAAGCUCUGUUAAUCGGGACGAAAGGCCUUCUUGCGAAUAGUGAGAAGGAUUGACGGUACCGGAAUAGAAAGCCACGGCUAACUACGUG